rnacentral:rRNA from 1 species
AUUGAACGCUGGCGGCAGGCCUAACACAUGCAAGUCGAGCGGAGCGGCGGACGGGGGAGUAAUGCCUAGGAAUCAGCCUGGGUGAGGGGGAUACCGACCGGACACGGGCGCUAAUACCGAAUGCUAUCAGAUGAACAUAGGUCGGAUUAGGUAGGUGGUGGGGUAAAGGCCUACCAAGUCGACGAUCCGUAACUGGUCUGAGAGGAUGAUCAGUCACACGGUAACGGAGACACGGUCCAGACUCCUACGUGAGGCAGCAGUGGGGAAUAUUGGACAAUGGGCGAAAGCCUGAUCCAGCCAGGCCGCGUGUGUGAAGAAGGUCUUCGGAUUGUAAAGCACUUUAAGUGGGGAGGCGUUACCUACAGAAUAAGCACCGGCUAACUACGUGCCAGCAGCCGCGGUAAUAC